UACAUGCAGUCGAGCGAACAGAAGGGAGCUUGCUCCCGGAUGUUAGCGGCGGACGGGUGAGUAACACGUGGGUAACCUGCCUGUAAGACUGGGAUAACUCCGGGAAACCGGAGCUAAUACCGGAUAGUUCCUUGAACCGCAUGGUUCAAGGAUGAAAGACGGUUUCGGCUGUCACUUACAGAUGGACCCGCGGCGCAUUAGCUAGUUGGUGGGGUAAUGGCUCACCAAGGCGACGAUGCGUAGCCGACCUGAGAGGGUGAUCGGCCACACUGGGACUGAGACACGGCCCAGACUCCUACGGGAGGCAGCAGUAGGGAAUCUUCCGCAAUGGACGAAAGUCUGACGGAGCAACGCCGCGUGAGUGAUGAAGGUUUUCGGAUCGUAAAGCUCUGUUGUUAGGGAAGAACAAGUGCGAGAGUAACUGCUCGCACCUUGACGGUACCUAACCAGAAAGCCACGGCUAACUACGUGCCAGCAGCCGCGGUAAUACGUAGGUGGCAAGCGUUGUCCGGAAUUAUUGGGCGUAAAGGGCUCGCAGGCGGUUUCUUAAGUCUGAUGUGAAAGCCCCCGGCUCAACCGGGGAGGGUCAUUGGAAACUGGGAAACUUGAGUGCAGAAGAGGAGAGUGGAAUUCCACGUGUAGCGGUGAAAUGCGUAGAGAUGUGGAGGAACACCAGUGGCGAAGGCGACUCUCUGGUCUGUAACUGACGCUGAGGAGCGAAAGCGUGGGGAGCGAACAGGAUUAGAUACCCUGGUAGUCCACGCCGUAAACGAUGAGUGCUAAGUGUUAGGGGGUUUCCGCCCCUUAGUGCUGCAGCUAACGCAUUAAGCACUCCGCCUGGGGAGUACGGUCGCAAGACUGAAACUCAAAGGAAUUGACGGGGGCCCGCACAAGCGGUGGAGCAUGUGGUUUAAUUCGAAGCAACGCGAAGAACCUUACCAGGUCUUGACAUCCUCUGACAACCCUAGAGAUAGGGCUUUCCCUUCGGGGACAGAGUGACAGGUGGUGCAUGGUUGUCGUCAGCUCGUGUCGUGAGAUGUUGGGUUAAGUCCCGCAACGAGCGCAACCCUUUGAUC
rnacentral:rRNA from 1 species